GGAGGAUCCGAGCGUUAUCCGGAUUUAUUGGGUUUAAAGGGAGCGUAGGUGGACAGUUAAGUCAGUUGUGAAAGUUUGCGGCUCAACCGUAAAAUUGCAGUUGAUACUGGCUGUCUUGAGUACAGUAGAGGUGGGCGGAAUUCGUGGUGUAGCGGUGAAAUGCUUAGAUAUCACGAAGAACUCCGAUUGCGAGGGCAGCCUGCUAAGCUGCAACUGACAUUGAGGCUCGAAAGUGUGGGUAUCAAACAGGAUUAGAUACCCUGGUAGUCCACACGGUAAACGAUGAUUACUAGGUGUGGGGGGACUGACCCCUUCCGUGCCGCAGUUAACACAAUAAGUAUUCCACCUGGGGAGU
rnacentral:rRNA from 1 species